rnacentral:snRNA from 1 species
UGAUGUGAGGGCCAUCUGCCUGUGACACCCAUCACCACACUGAUCUCCAGGCUUGAGUCAGCUGAUCUGCCUGGCUAUGCCCAUGUCCCCUUCCUCACCCAGCGCUCCAUAUGCAUCCCUCCCAAAGCUGCUCGGUCACAGAGGACAACCUCCUCGAUACAGACAGUGCAUUUUAUCAAUUAGUGAAAUCCCCCUACAUAGAGUACAGUUUAUUAAUCAAGGCUAUUAUUUGGUAGCUGUGCUCCCUGCUACAACCUACAAAAGUGCUCUCAGUCCAUUUUUUUGAGAACAUAGAAUAAUCCAACUGCUAAGACUGCAGACACAUCCAAUUGUGUUGUUGCAUGGGGAGAGAUUUCCUUAUAUU